rnacentral:rRNA from 1 species
UACGUAGGGCGCAAGCGUUGUCCGGAAUUAUUGGGCGUAAAGAGCUCGUAGGUGGUUUGUCGCGUCCGCUGUGAAAACCCGAGGCUCAACCUCGGGCCUGCAGUGGGUACGGGCAGACUAGAGUGCGGUAGGGGAGACUGGGAAUUCCUGGUGUAGCGGUGAAUGCGCAGAGUAUCAGGAGGAACACCGAUGGCGAAGGCAGGUCUCUGGGCCGCAACUGACACUGAGGAGCGAAAGCAUGGGGAGCGAACAGGG